rnacentral:rRNA from 1 species
CACAGGUGCUGCAUGGCUGUCGUCAGCUCGUGUCGUGAGAUGUUGGGUUAAGUCCCGCAACGAGCGCAACCCUUGUCAUUAGUUGCUACGAAAGGGCACUCUAAUGAGACUGCCGGUGACAAACCGGAGGAAGGUGGGGAUGACGUCAAGUCCUCAUGGCCCUUAUGGGUAGGGCUUCACACGUCAUACAAUGGUCGGGACAGAGGGUCGCCAACCCGCGAGGGGGAGCCAAUCCCAGAAACCCGAUCGUAGUCCGGAUUGCAGUCUGCAACUCGACUGCAUGAAGUCGGAAUCGCUAGUAAUCGCGGAUCAGAAUGUCGCGGUGAAUACGUUCCCGGGUCUU